AGUGACUUGAAGGCGGGGCAACAAAGGGUACGGCCGAUAUGGUGCUCCUCGGCCCGCGCUUCAAUGGUUAUGACAGUGUUAACUCUAAGGGGAGAAGGAAUGUGUGACCAUUAACAACGGUUAACUUGCAUUCCCCAGAUAGUUUGGAUGAGUUACAACCCAAAUCUGCAAACUCAAUACAGCCAGACCCUGGGAAGUGACCCUCUCCGAGCCUCCUGUACAAGUCCCAGGAAAAGAGCCUGUUUUCCCUUGGACACGUGAGCAGUGAAUUACUGCUCAUUCAGAAUUACAUGUCAUGUGUUACUGAUGGCCAGGUUUAGAUACCAACCUAUUUCUAGAGGAGAGGUGAUUUGAUAACCUUUUCAGAUAUCACUAUCACUAGGCAGAAAAGGGUUAAUACUAUGACAGUGUCCUGAGGACAGUAGAGAAACUGCAAACUGCAGAAGUACCUGAUCUGUGGCCCUGGCCAGCAUCUCUCCAUAUCCUGAUUCUGUAAGAUCAAGUGUUUAUGCAGAAAGAGAAGGGACCGAUGAUUUGAAUGUGACCAGAUGUAUGGCACGCCCUUAUUGCCAUGCCAGCAUUUGCUAUUCAUGAUGUUAGUAUUCAAAAAUCAAGAAACACUCUGCAUGGGCCAUUGGUGUCUACUAAUCCGUUGGAAGAAAAGACUGGAAUCCACCACUUACUAGCUCCUUGGGCCUCAGUCCCCUCUUUUCUGCCAUAACUAAGGACCACCUAAUCUAGAUGGCUGCUGUUAUUGUUCAAAGGAACAUCUUUAGAGCCUCAAGCCCAGGAAUAGUCCAUGGCAGGCACCUGGUAAAUGUUAGUUUUCAUUGUCCUCUCCCAACACUAUGAAACAUGCAGCACUCUCUGCAACUGCCCCUGUGGAUUUCCAUAGGCAGGAGAGCAUCUAGUGUUGAGUGGAGCUGGUAUUCUCAGAAACGAAGCCCCUUUCCUCAUUUUGUGCCAAUCUCUUCAGUCAUUUGUACCCUAGUAGUAUAGGGCUUUGUCAAAGUCACUGUCAUCUAAUGUUAACAGUUGUUUUUGCCAGAUGACUUUUCAAAAAGUGACUGUUAAUGUGAUAAAAACACUGCAUGUAGCCAAUUUUUUUUUUUUUUUUUUUUUUUUGAGACGGAGUUACUGCUCUUGUUGCCUAGGCUAGAGUGCAGCGGCAUGAUCUUGGCUCACUGCAACCUCUGCCUCCCAGGUUCAAGUAAUUCUCCUGCCUCAGCCUCCCAAGUGGCUGGGAUUAUAGGCACACGCCACCAUGCCCAGCCAAUUUUUUUGUAUUUUUAGUAGAGACAGGGUUUCACCAUAUGUUGGCCAGGCUGGUCUCGAACUCCUGACUUCAGGUGAUCCUCCUGCCUCAGCCUCCCAAAGUGCUGGGAUUACAGGUGUGAGCCACUGCGCCCAGCCAACUAUUUUCUUAUUUGUUAUAUAUUUAUUUUAGAGAUAGGAUGCCAUUAUGUUACCCAGUCUGGAAUGCAGUGGCUAAUUAGAGGCAUGAUCAUAGCAUACUAUGACCUCGGCUCAAAGGACCCUGCAACCUUAGCCUCCUGAGUAGCUGGGACAAGUGUGCACCACCACAGCUGACUAAUUUUUAAAUUUUUUGUAGAGAUAGGGUCUGGCUAUGUUGCCCAGGCUGGUCUGGAAUUCCUGGACUCAAGGCCUCUUCCUGCCCUCAGCCUUCCAAAGUGUUAGGAUUACAGGGUGAAUACCCACACCCAGCCAGUGUGAAUUUUCUAAUGCUGAGUAAGUUGUGAUCCAGAAGUAAAUGUAUCUGCAAGCUGAUUUAAAUUGUAGAUUUUCUUCUCAUUGUGUAUUUUCUGAUGUUGAAUAAAGUCUGAGUAUUAACUAAAGUUUUUCCUUCUUCUUAAAUAUGUAAGAAUUGUCCUCAAAAUCUCCAUUCUUGAGCACAGUAGUAAAAAUAUUUUUACAUACAUUGUAUUUCAAGGGUUCUGCAUAAACAACUUUGUUUUAUUGUGACUAAAUUUAUUUGGGAAUUUUAUCAAAUAUAUAAUACUGAGAUGUUCUCAUUCCUUUUGUGAAAAUGGUCUGGUUUAAAAACCACUGCCUUCAAAUGAAAA
ensembl:lncRNA